rnacentral:rRNA from 1 species
UACGUAGGGGGCUAGCGUUGUCCGGAAUCAUUGGGCGUAAAGAGCGUGUAGGCGGUCCGGUAAGUCCGCUGUGAAAGUCGGGGGCUCAACCCUCGAAUGCCGGUGGAUACUGUCGGGCUCGAGUCCGGAAGAGGAGUGUGGAAUUCCUGGUGUAGCGGUGAAAUGCGCAGAUAUCAGGAAGAACACCCGUGGCGAAGGCGGCUCUCCGGGACGGGUACUGGACGCUGAGACGCGAAAGCGUGGGGAGCGAACAGG